ACACAUGCAAGUCGAGGGGCAGCAUGGACCCAGCUUUGCUGGGUUUGAUGGCGACCGGCGCACGGGUGAGUAACGCGUAUCCAACCUGCCCUUUACUCCGGGAUAGUCUCCUGAAAGGGAGUUUAAUACCGGAUGUGUUUGUCUUUCCGCAUGGGAGCGACAAAUAAAGAUUAAUUGGUAAAGGAUGGGGAUGCGUCCCAUUAGCUUGUUGGCGGGGUAACGGCCCACCAAGGCGACGAUGGGUAGGGGUUCUAAGAGGAAGGUCCCCCACAUUGGAACUGAGACACGGUCCAAACUCCUACGGGAGGCAGCAGUGAGGAAUAUUGGUCAAUGGGCGGGAGCCUGAACCAGCCAAGUAGCGUGAAGGACGACGGCCCUACGGGUUGUAAACUUCUUUUAUAAGGGAAUAAAGUUCGCCACGUGUGGUGUUUUGUAUGUACCUUAUGAAUAAGCAUCGGCUAAUUCCGUGCCAGCAGCCGCGGUAAUACGGAAGAUGCGAGCGUUAUCCGGAUUUAUUGGGUUUAAAGGGAGCGUAGGCGGGCUUUUAAGUCAGCGGUCAAAUGUCGUGGCUCAACCAUGUCAAGCCGUUGAAACUGUAAGCCUUGAGUCUGCACAGGGCACAUGGAAUUCGUGGUGUAGCGGUGAAAUGCUUAGAUAUCACGAAGAACUCCGAUCGCGAAGGCAUUGUGCCGGGGCAUAACUGACGCUGAGGCUCGAA
rnacentral:rRNA from 1 species